CUGGGAUUUGCAAGCCUCUUCACAGGGUAGCACAGCCUGGCGAGCACCUUGGGAGAGGCACGAGAACACACAUCUAUUCUGGGACCCUGAUGGAUUACAAGGAUGACGAAGGAACUUCUGAAGAGAAGAAGAUAAAAGUGAUCCUCAAAGUCUUAGACCCCAGCCACAGGGAUAUUUCCCUGGCCUUCUUCGAGGCAGCCAGCAUGAUGAGACAGGUCUCCCACAAACACAUCGUGUACCUCUAUGGCGUCUGUGUCCGCGACGUGGAGAAUAUCAUGGUGGAAGAGUUUGUGGAAGGGGGUCCUCUGGAUCUCUUCAUGCACCGGAAAAGCGAUGUCCUUACCACACCAUGGAAAUUCAAAGUUGCCAAACAGCUGGCCAGUGCCCUGAGCUACUUGGAGGAUAAAGACCUGGUCCAUGGAAAUGUGUGUACUAAAAACCUCCUCCUGGCCCGUGAGGGCAUCGACAGUGAGUGUGGCCCGUUCAUCAAGCUCAGUGACCCCGGCAUCCCCAUUACGGUGCUGUCUAGGCAAGAAUGCAUUGAACGAAUCCCAUGGAUUGCUCCCGAGUGUGUUGAGGACUCCAAGAACCUGAGUGUGGCUGCUGACAAGUGGAGCUUUGGAACCACGCUCUGGGAAAUCUGCUACAAUGGCGAGAUCCCCUUGAAAGACAAGACGCUGAUUGAGAAAGAGAGAUUCUAUGAAAGCCGGUGCAGGCCAGUGACACCAUCAUGUAAGGAGCUGGCUGACCUCAUGACCCGCUGCAUGAACUAUGACCCCAAUCAGAGGCCUUUCUUCCGAGCCAUCAUGAGAGA
rnacentral:sRNA from 1 species